AAUGUUCUAAGUCACCGGCUCUGGAGCUUCUUUGCACUUUGGAACCAACUUGCGGGAAGGAACUUUAAAAAUACUGAUAUCUCGAUCCAUCCCCAGAGGUUCUGAUUUAAUGGUCUUGGGGAUAUGGCCACGGCAUGAGGACUGUUAAAACUCCGCAGGUGAUUCUUAUGUGCAACAAAGUUUAAGAACCACUGAUGUAGGCCAUGUCGAUGUCAGUCUUCACUUAAAUCCAACAAGACCCCAGAGCUAAAACGUUCACCUGAAAGAAACCCCAUUCCCAGGCCUGCAUACUGACCUGCGCUGGCUCACAAGAAGCAAAGUGGUCCCUUAACAGGGGCUUCCUGGAGAAAAUGUCUUGACCUAAAAGAGUGAUUCGAGCUGCAGGGAUUUAAGAGAGACAGGGCCUUGCUCUGUCACCCAGGCUGAAAUGCAGUGUUGCAAUCUUGGCUCGCUGUAGCCUCAAGCUCUUGGACUCAGGCGAUUCUCCUAUCUCAGCUUCCUAAGUAGCUGGGACUACAGGGCUCAGUGUGGUCAAAAGAAGACUAUAGAAUCAAGGAUGAAGAGAAGGAACACAGAAUAAAAGGACGUCUCAGCAGGAAGCUCUGUGACUACUAUGUCAAAUGAUGCCAUACAGUGAAGCACCUUGAAAGAUUGCUGGGAUAAGCUGACAGCAUGGCAGCCAAAAUAGUGACCCCAGGCUUGCAGGAAUUCUGUGCUUUCUGGAGGAAAUGGUCAUGGGUUUCCCAACCUGCCUUUUAAACUAAGGACCGAGCUGAAGAAGCCCCCGUCUUCCAGCGCAUGUUAUUCCCAUGACAGAUGCUAAAAGUUCAAGGGGAGAGCUACAAGAAGUGCGUUUUCCUGUGGCUACUUUCAUGUCUGGAUGCAAUGCCUAGACCUGCAUCCAUCUUGCGACCAACCUGAAGAUGAACAGAAAGGAAGGAAGGAUGGCCCAAUAGCCUGGGAAGAACUGGUGUUCCUGAUACCAUCAUUAACCACAGAAUCUACAAUCCCGGAACCCCCCAUCCUUAACCAUGGAAUCUACAAUCCUAUCUCUAGACCCUUUGUCCAGAUGCUACAGUUUCUUUGUUCAAUCUAGUUUGUGUCAGGAUUUCUGUUCAUUACAUCAAAAGUAUUCUAAUACUUGUAGCAAAGCAACUGGAGAAGUUUUCACUUUGUCUUUAACCAAAGAAGACUUCCAGGAAACAUCUCCUCAGUGGGUUUCUCCCUCACCACUGGAUUUUUAUCUCUGUACUAGUGCUUUGAUUUGUUUUAGGAGUCUCACCUCUCCACCUGUCAUAUUUCCCUGGCAGGCUCAUUUCUGCUAAUGCCCACAAUAUGUGUAUCAAUGAGCUUUCAACGUUAGGUACACAGCUCUUCAGGCAUGUAUAGCACAUUAAUCUGUCUGCUUCUAAGUGGUCUGUUGACAUGUUUGGGUGCCAGUUAUAUCUACAAGGCUGUGAUCAUUGUCCUGGGUUAUUCUGUUUGUUCUCUCUGCAGGAUGCAUUAGGACACCCAAGGCCAUGGCCAUCACUUACAUCUAGGAUUCAAUCUUAUCUCCUGUGAAUCACUGGAAACCUCCUGUCCUGGAACCCUUUUUUUCCACAUCCCACUGGAUGUCAUUCAUAGCAACUGGUCUUGUGGGUUGUCUAUUUUAUUGUGUUGUCUUACUCUUCCUCCUGGUAUCAGUUUUUAAAUCCUCUUGAUGAGAUCAGCUGAUCAGUCGCUAAGCAACAUAGUCCCCCAUGUCUUUGUAAGAUUCUCUGCACUCAUGGCUAGAAUGAUUUAUUCUGGUAUCUUAAGCUGUGUUUCAGAACCUCAUUCUAAAUAUCAACCUAUUCUUGUAAGUCCACUACUGAUCAUCUUUAGAUAUUCUUCAGUCUUCCAGAGUUCCAAAGGGCAGUAGGAAGAAGCAAUGAAAAUACCACCUGUAUUCUCACAUCUUUCAUUGUUCCACUCAAAAAAUACCACCAUGUUCACUUCUGGUGGAACGUUUAUGUCCAUGAGAAGCAGUGGCUUUGAAGAGUUUUGGCAGACUAUGGCGCCUUACUCAACAUUGGGAAGGUAUCUUGCCAUCAGACCUUUUGGGUCUCCAUGAAACUUCUUAUACCCCCUCUGGGAAAAGUCACUAACUGUGAUCUUACUGAGCUUCUAAACACAGCAUUUUUUUUACACUUAAGUGAGCGGGGGUCCUCCUCAUUUGUGCUUCUCUUCUUGUAAGGGUGACUUCCUCCCAGUAGGAUGAAUCUCAUGCCUAUUUGUGUUAUUUUGCUAAUUCCAGCUUCUUUUCUACUCAGGGGGGUUCCAACUCUUUUAAGGUCUCAUCUUCAGCACUUCUAAACUGUGGGAAACUAUGUGAAAACAAAUGGAGUGGCCAAACACACCAUUCAUCACUGUGCUUCUGGACAGCUGCAAGUCCAUACGUGUUCUGAUAAUUCAAUACAAGAAAGAAGAUUUGCUUGGGAAGGUCUGAAUGGCCCUAGCUUUGUUUGUUAACCAUAACCUCUACCAGCUGGAAACACAAUGCCCCACUAAUACUAACAGUGCCUGCUUGUCCAAACAGCAUUCUGGCCACUUACAGCAAUUGACACAAAUUCUAACAGGUAGAUGGGGCAAAGCAUUACCUUGUGUAAAACUGCUGCUAAAAUAUAUUCCUAGUGAGAAAGGUCAACUUGUGGGCUAAAGUCCUUGUCACCUCCUGAUCAGUUUUCACUUAGGGCACAGCAGUCUGCCAUUCACCAUUGGGAUCUCUGUGUGUUUCUUCUCUCUUAUGAAAGGACAUAUUGAGCGCUCUAGGACUUGGCUGCCUACAUCAAGUAGAGGGGGACCCUCAUGAUUCACUAAGGGGCCUCAGUUCUGAAUAUUUCUCAUUAUUCAAAAAUGCAAAGCCAUUGUCAUUACGUGGCAGUUUAUUGGAACCAAGGGAGGAAUUGGUCCCUUUUCAUGUUCUUCUCCUAAAUAGAGAAAAGGUAAUUAAAACUUGGAGCUUAAU
rnacentral:lncRNA from 1 species